CUCCAGGAUAGUUGCCCUGGAGAAAGAAGCUGAAGAAUGGACCAGACGGGCUGAAGAAGCUGUUGUCUCUAUUCAAGAUAUCACAGUGAAUUAUUUUAAUUAGACAGUAAAAGCAUUAGCAGGAAUGCAGAAAGAAAUGGAACAGGAUGUGAAGAGAUUUGGCCAGGCUGCCUGGGCCACAGCAAUUCCCAGGUUGGAAAAACUUAAGCUAAUGCUAGCUCAAGAGACUCUGCAACUCAUGAGAGCGAAAGAAUUGUAUUUAAAUCGCAAAAGAGCUGAAAUUCAGGGAAAGAAAAACAGGAUGAAGUUGUCUAUUACGAUCCAUGUGAAAGUCCAGAGGAACUUAGUCAUUGACUGUGGUGGGGCUGCAGGACGAUAAGAAUUCGGAAGUGAAAGAACUCAGAAGGCAGUGCCAGCAGCUGGAGUCUGUUAAACGGAGCAGUCUGUGUCAAAAGAGCUUCUCUCCAGAGUAGAAAGAUUUAUUUUCUUUUUGAAUAUAUUUUCUACACCAUGGUUUCUCAACCAGAGGUGAUACAGCACUGUCUCCAAAUGUGGAGCUGUUGUGUAUUGUCACGGGGAGGAGAAAUGCUACUGGCAUUUAGUGGAUGAUGGUCAAGGACACUAAGCAACCUGCAAUGUGUGGAUCAAUCUUACACAACGAAGGACUGUUCCACCCCAAAUGCCAAUGGUACCCUGUUGAGAAAGGUUAGUCUAUGUGGACAGUGAAUUAUAAACUUUUUGAAUCUGUUUUUGGGUCUUAAAAUGUCUUUAUGAUGCCCUCACAUUCACUUGCACUUUGGCUGGUUAAACAAUAUUAAAAGAAAACUUCAAAUUAAAUGGAAUUUAAUUGAGCAAGAAAAAAAAACAAUUCCCAAGUUGGGCAGCCUCCAGAACCA
rnacentral:lncRNA from 1 species